rnacentral:rRNA from 1 species
AAUGAACGUUGGCGGCAUGGAUUAGGCAUGCAAGUCGAGCGAGAAGUGUAGCAAUACACGGAAAGCGGCGGAAGGGAGAGUAAUACGUGGGAAUCUGCCCUUAGACCUGGGAUAGCAGCGGGAAACUGCUGGUAAUACCAGAUAAUGUCUAUGGACCAAAGGUGUGAUUCCGUCUAGGGAUGAGCCCACGUCCUAUUAGCUAGUUGGUAGGGUAGUGGCCUACCAGGGCGAUGAUGGGUAGCGGGUGUGAGAGCAUGACCCGCCUCACUGGGACUGAGACACUGCCCAGACACCUACGGGUGGCUGCAGUCGGGAAUCUUCGGCAAUGGGCGCAAGCCUGACCGAGCGAUGCCGCGCGCGGGAUGAAGGCCUUCGGGUUGUAAACCGCUGUCGAGGGGGAGCAACUUCCAUAGAGUUAUCUUUAUGGAUUGAGUGAUCCCUGGAGGAAGGACGGGCUAAGUUCGUGCCAGCCGCCGCCGUAACAC